GGGCCCGUAGCGCAGUUGGGAGCGCGCCGCCGUGGCACGGCGGAGGUCACGGGUUCGAAUCCCGUCGGGUCCACCU
rnacentral:tRNA from 1 species